GGAAAGGCGCGCGAUACAGGGUGACAGCCCCGUACACAAAAAUGCACAUGCUGUGAGCUCGAUGAGUAGGGCGGGACACGUGGUAUCCUGUCUGAAUAUGGGGGGACCAUCCUCCAAGGCUAAAUACUCCUGACUGACCGAUAGUGAACCAGUACCGUGAGGGAAAGGCGAAAAGAACCCCGGCGAGGGGAGUGAAAAAGAACCUGAAACCGUGUACGUACAAGCAGUGGGAGCACGCUUAGGCGUGUGACUGCGUACCUUUUGUAUAAUGGGUCAGCGACUUAUAUUCUGUAGCAAGGUUAACCGAAUAGGGGAGCCGAAGGGAAACCGAGUCUUAACUGGGCGUUAAGUUGCAGGGUAUAGACCCGAAACCCGGUGAUCUAGCCAUGGGCAGGUUGAAGGUUGGGUAACACUAACUGGAGGACCGAACCGACUAAUGUUGAAAAAUUAGCGGAUGACUUGUGGCUGGGGGUGAAAGGCCAAUCAAACCGGGAGAUAGCUGGUUCUCCCCGAAAGCUAUUUAGGUAGCGCCUCGUGAAUUCAUCUCCGGGGGUAGAGCACUGUUUCGGCAAGGGGGUCAUCCCGACUUACCAACCCGAUGCAAACUGCGAAUACCGGAGAAUGUUAUCACGGGAGACACACGGCGGGUGCUAACGUCCGUCGUGAAGAGGGAAACAACCCAGACCGCCAGCUAAGGUCCCAAAGUCAUGGUUAAGUGGGAAACGAUGUGGGAAGGCCCAGACAGCCAGGAUGUUGGCUUAGAAGCAGCCAUCAUUUAAAGAAAGCGUAAUAGCUCACUGGUCGAGUCGGCCUGCGCGGAAGAUGUAACGGGGCUAAACCAUGCACCGAAGCUGCGGCAGCGACGCUGAUGCGUUGUUGGGUAGGGGAGCGUUCUGUAAGCCUGCGAAGGUGUGCUGUGAGGCAUGCUGGAGGUAUCAGAAGUGCGAAUGCUG
rnacentral:rRNA from 1 species